rnacentral:rRNA from 1 species
UGGGGAAUAUUGGACAAUGGGGGCAACCCUGAUCCAGCAAUGCCGCGUGUGUGAAGAAGGCCUUAGGGUUGUAAAGCACUUUAGGCGGGGAAGAAGAUGUGUAGUUUAAGAGAUGACACAUUUGACGGUACCCGCAGAAUAAGCACCGGCUAACUCUGUGCCAGCAGCCGCGGUAAUACAGAGGGUGCAAGCGUUAAUCGGAAUUACUGGGCGUAAAGGGCGCGUAGGUGGUUGCGUAAGUGAGAUGUGAAAUCCCUGGGCUUAACCUGGGAACUGCAUCUUAUACUGCGUAGCUGGAGUACAUGAGAGGGUAGUGGAAUUUCCGGUGUAGCGGUGAAAUGCGUAGAUAUCGGAAGGAACACCAGUGGCGAAGGCGGCUACCUGGCAUGAUACUGACACUGAGGCGCGAGAGCGUGGGGAGCAAACAG